CUCCAGGAGCUCUGUGGAUGUUGCUAGAGUCCAGAGAAGGGUUUCCUUCACCUUCUCUCCCUCUCUCUCUAGAAGUUUUCUCUCUCUACAUUGAAAUCAAUGAUUUAGCUCGAUUUCGUCGCCUCGCUUGUUCUUUGCUGCUGGCGAGUGUCGCUGAGCCUUUGUGGACGUGUGAGAGGGUAUUUUAGAAGGUUUUUCGCAGCACCAAACCAGUGAGUUGCUGGUUGGAAGCUUGAAAAGGUUUGCGAAUCACAUUAAACUCUUUUGGUGACCUGGGAGGCUGGUUUGGAAGGUGUUCCAACUACAGCGAGCUUGCAACGGACUUUCGGAGUAUCUCCGGCUGAUGUGUAAAGGCUUUUAGAAGCUUAAUUUGAGCAGCGUCGAGACUCCGUUGAGCAGGGUUCGGGACUCCUUUUGGCUGGAUUGAGCUUGGUGAUAGGUGGGUCGGACUUUCCCGAAAUGGGUGAAUUUCCCUCUAUGUUUCCUUUGACAUAUGAGUUGAAGCUAUUACGUAUUCUUGUGAAUAUAUGUAUAGUUCAUGGCAUUAAGACACGCAUUCAUGUGUAGAUCAUAUUGGAUAUGAUCGCAUUCCUAACAGUACUGGAAAACUCAUGAUUAGUUCCCUCCACAUGGUUAUCUGUUGGAUUACUAUAUAUUCGUGAUAUUCGUAGCUCGCAUAAAUAAUUGGACUGGUUGUCAUUCAAGUAGAUAUGAUGGUAAAAUCGUGAAGGUACCAUUUAGCUCAGCUGAGCAAUAAAAGGGAACGAUGUACCUAGAAUUGGACUAUGCCAAUUGAUAUGAUUAGUAUCUUGGUUAAACUCUGAAUACAUCACGUAAAGGUAAUUAUUUGAGUAUGCUCAUAUCAUGGUAACAUCGUGAAUGGCAUAGAGAUCAUGUGAAGAGUGUUCCGUCGUUUAUUUUCCUUACUUGUAUUGACCUGUUAAUUCCUACUUUCACAUGAUAGAUUUGUUUGAAAUUCAUGUUACGAUAUAUGAUCUAGUUAAACAACUAGAAUUGAGCAUGAAAGCAUAACUCGAAUGUUA